GUUCCCAUUCUCUAUUUCUGACCAAUCACAAGCCUUCCCUGAGUCGCUCCAGCUAAGUGGUGAUGGCUUCUGCUCGCUUCCCAUUGGUUGAGAGACCAAAAUGUAAACACUUCUAGCUUGGCGUCGCCGAGAGACGUUUUUUAAUCGAGUGACACUCAUAUACCCUUGGAUUUUACCCUCUACAAAGUCGAUCCAUCAGAAAUUGUUUUAUGGUGAGCCCUCCAAAGACAAGUCCAAAUAUCUCUGCAUUUUGGAGGAAAGUGACUCAGAUCCAGAGCCAGAUCACCAGGAAUUGCUUGACAGUAGUGAUGAGUGCUUGCCACAGGAUGCUGAGGUGUCAAGUGAUGAUGAGGAGGAAGAUAGACCAUCCAAAAAGCCAAAAUUCUCACAGGCCAGUGCCAGGCAAGCUACUUAGAUGAUAAUUGUGCAGCAAACACAAACAUCAUGUCACAUCCUCAUUUUCCUUUGCCAUAUGCAAAGUAAAUAUAUACAUCAAGAAGGAUAGAAAUUGUACAAAUUAGUGAUCUAGAAUGAUUAUUCUUUCUUAGGAAACUCAGGAAUGUGGGAAUUGAAAGUUAUAUCCCUUUGCAAUGUGCCUAUGUUGCUACUUGAUUCAUUUUUGUAUUUUUUAAUACUUACAAAAUGUUUGAAAACAAGUUUAAUUUAUGUCUUUGAUAUUGUCUUUUUGUAUAAUAAAAUUAAAAAAUAGUUA